AGGACACACCUCACCUGCCGUUCAGCUGACUUGUUUUGGAUUCAACAGGGCAGAGAGUAGGAGAGAUGUCCAUCCAGACGCGAGUGCUGGGGAAUAUUCUUGUGUCCCACAGUUCAGACAUAAUCCUGGGAAUCUGGAUACCAGAAAAGAGUCUGCUUCAUCCUCUUUACAUCCUCCCAUCAGUGGGGAGCCCAGUCCUGGACAAAGCACUCCAGAUGUGGCCUCACCAGGGCUGAGUAGAGGGGAAGUACCACCUCCCUCAGCCUGUUGGCAACAGUCUGUCUAAUGCAGCCCAGGGAGCUGCUGACCUUCUUUGUUGAAAGGGCACAUUGCUGGCUCAUGGUCAACUUGGUCCUCCACCAGGAACCCUAGCUCUUUUCUGCAAAGCUGCUUUCCAGCAGGUCGCCCCUCAGCCUGUACUGGUGAAUGGGGUUAUUCCUCCCCAGGUGCAGGACUUGGCACUUCGUUUUGCAGAACUUCUUGAGGUACCUGUCAGCCCAUAUCUCCAGCCUGUCAAUGUCCUUCUGAACGGCAGCACAGCCCUCUGCUGUGUCAGCCACUCCUCCCAGUUUUGUAGCAACUGCAGACUUGCUGAGGGUACACCCUGUCCUGUAGUUGAGGCCAUUAAUGAAGAAGUUAAACAGUAGUUGUCCCAGUAUUGACCCCCCGGGUACACCACUAAUGACUGACCUCCAGGUGGACUUUUUGUUGCUGAUCACAACCCUUUGACCCUGACAGUUCAGCCAGUUUUCAGUCCUCCUCACUGUUCAGUCAUCUAGCCCAAACUUCACCAGUUUGUCAAUGAGGAUGUUAGGGAUGUUAGGGAAUGUAGAGAGGAAUAAGCAAUUUAGCAUUAACGAGCACCAGAAGGGAGAUGGACUUUAACCUAGAACACAGAACAAAGAAACAAAGGAACCACAAGACUGAUUCCAGAGGACAAGACAAGGAAGUAGAAGAGCCAGACAGCUGUGCAGAAAUAAGUAACCACAAAAACUGUUUCCAAGGGCCAAGAUAAGGGAGUAAAAGAGACAUCGACAACUGUGCACAACUGAGAUAAGAAGGAAAGAACAUACCUGGAAACUAUGGAAAGGACCAGCCCAGAGCUGGAAGACCUCAAACUCUAAUAUUAUGAUUGAUUCAGGACUAUGGGGUGGAUACUAGACUGGAAGGGAAAAAUUACCCAGGGUUUUGUUCAAAUGGGGUCACUCUUCGGAGGCAGCCAGCUCGAGCUGUAAUUACUGCAUGUGUAUCAUUAAAAUUUAUUUUGCUCUGA